AUUGAACGCUGGCGGCAGGCCUAACACAUGCAAGUCGAGCGGGGUUUUCGGACCUAGCGGCGGACGGGUGAGUAAUGCGUAGGAAGCUACCCGAUAGAGGGGGAUACCAGUUGGAAACGACUGUUAAUACCGCAUAAUGUCUACGGACCAAAGUGUGGGACCUUCGGGCCACAUGCUAUCGGAUGCGCCUACGUGGGAUUAGCUAGUUGGUGAGGUAAUGGCUCACCAAGGCGACGAUCCCUAGCUGGGUUGAGAGGAUGAUCAGCCACACUGGAGCUGAGACACGGCCCAGACUCCUACGGGUGGCAGCAGUGGGGAAUAUUGGACAAUGGGCGCAAGCCUGAUCCAGCCAUGCCGUGUGUGUGAAGAAGGCCUUCGGGUUGUAAAGCACUUUCAGUAGGGAGGAAGCGUUGUGUGUUAAUAGUACACAGCGUUGACGUUACCUACAGAAGGAGCACCGGCUAACUCUGUGCCAGCAGCCGCGGUAACAC
rnacentral:rRNA from 1 species